GAUGAACGCUAGCUGCAUGCCUAAUACAUGCAAGUCGCGCGACCGGACGAGGGUCUCGCUCCUCUGACGUUGGCGGCGGGCGGGUGGGUAACAAGUGCAUAACCUACCUAUAAUACAGCGCUAGAUUCGGGAACCAGGAUCUAAUACCUAACGAUUUUUUUCACUGCAUGGUUCCAGAGUUGAAGACGGGGUUGCUGUCACUUGUAGGGGGAUCCGCGCUGCUUGAGCUAGUCGGUAAGGUAACGGCUUACCAAGGCAACGAUGCAUAGCCGACGUGAGGGGGGGAGAGGCCACACUGGAACUGAGACACGGUCCAGACUCCUACGGGAGGCAGCAGUGGGGAGUCUUCCGCAAUGGGCGAAAGCCUGACGUAGCACAGCCGCGUGAGUGAUGAAAGGCUGCGGAUCUGAAAACUAUGCUAUUAGGGAGCAACAAUUGUGUAAGUAACUUUGCACAUCUUGAAGGUACCUAAUCAGAAAGGCCCGGCUAACUCCGUG
rnacentral:rRNA from 1 species